GACGAACGCUGGCGGCGUGCUUAACACAUGCAAGUCGAACGGUGAAAGCGGAGCUUGCUCCGCUGGAUCAGUGGCGAACGGGUGAGUAACAUGUGGGAAACCUGCCCUUCACUUCGGGAUAACUCCGGGAAACCGGGGCUAAUACCGGAUAUGACCUCUGCGGGCAUCCGCGGAGGUGGAAAGUUUUGCGGUGUGGGAUGGGCCCGCGGCCUAUCAGCUGGUUGGUGGGGUGAUGGCCUACCAAGGCGACGGCGGGUAGCCGGCCUGAGAGGGUGACCGGCCACACUGGGACUGAGAUACGGCCCAGACUCCUACGGGGGGCAGCAGUGGGGAAUAUUGCACAAUGGGCGCAAGCCUGAUGCAGCGACGCCGCGUGAGGGAUGACGGCCUUCGGGUUGUAAACCUCUUUCAGCAUCGACGAAGCGAAAGUGACGGUAGGUGCAGAAGAAGGACCGGCCAACUACGUGCCAGCAGCCGCCGUAA
rnacentral:rRNA from 1 species